rnacentral:rRNA from 1 species
GACGAACGCUGGCGGCGUGCUUAACACAUGCAAGUCGAACGGAAAGGCCCUGCUUUUGUGGGGUGCUCGUGUGGCGAACGGGUGAGUAACACGUGAGUAACCUGCCCUUGACUUUGGGAUAACUUCAGGAAACUGGGGCUAAUACCGGAUAGGAGCUCCUGCUGCAUGGUGGGGGUUGGAAAGUUUCGGCGGUUGGGGAUGGACUCGCGGCUUAUCAGCUUGUUGGUGGGGUAGUGGCUUACCAAGGCUUUGACGGGUAGCCGGCCUGAGAGGGUGACCGGCCACAUUGGGACUGAGAUACGGCCCAGACUCCUACGGGAGGCAGCAGUGGGGAAUAUUGCACAAUGGGCGGAAGCCUGAUGCAGCAACGCCGCGUGCGGGAUGACGGCCUUCGGGUUGUAAACCGCUUUCGCCUGUGACGAAGCGUGAGUGACGGUAAUGGGGAAAGAAGCACCGGCGAACUACGU